AUUCUACUCCCUCCGUUCCACAAUACAUGCCUUCUAUUUGUCAAAAUAUAGAUGUAUCUAGACAUGUUUUAGUAUAUAGGUACAUCCAUUUUUGGGCAAAUGGAAGUCAAGUAUUUUGGAACGGAGGGAGUACACA
rnacentral:pre_miRNA from 1 species